rnacentral:rRNA from 1 species
AUUGAACGCUGGCGGCAUGCCUUACACAUGCAAGUCGAACGGCAGCACGGGAGCAAUCCUGGUGGCGAGUGGCGAACGGGUGAGUAAUAUAUCGGAACGUGCCCAGUCGUGGGGAUAACGUAGCGAAAGCUACGCUAAUACCGCAUACGAUCUAUGGAUGAAAGCGGGGGAUCGCAAGACCUCGCGCGAUUGGAGCGGCCGAUAUCAGAUUAGGUAGUUGGUGAGGUAAAGGCUCACCAAGCCGACGAUCUGUAGCUGGUCUGAGAGGACGACCAGCCACACUGGGACUGAGACACGGCCCAGACUCCUACGGGAGGCAGCAGUGGGGAAUUUUGGGACAAUGGGCGCAAGCCUGAUCCAGCAAUGCCGCGUGCA